rnacentral:rRNA from 1 species
GACGAACGCUGGCGGCGUGCUUAACACAUGCAAGUCGAACGGUGAAGCGCCUUCCUUUUUGGUGGGUGUGGAUGAGUGGCGAACGGGUGAGUAACACGAGAGUAACCUGCUCCCUUCUUCUGGAUAACCGCAUGAAAGUGUGGCUAAUACGGGAUAUUCUGGGUCUGUCGCAUGAUGGGUCUGGGAAAGAUAUUGUUUCGGUGGGGGAUGGGCUCGCGGCCUAUCAGCUUGUUGGUGGGGUGAUGGCCUACCAAGGCGGUGACGGGUAGCCGGCCUGAGAGGGUGGACGGUCACACUGGGACUGAGACACGGCCCAGACUCCUACGGGAGGCAGCAGUGGGGAAUAGUGCACAAUGGGCGCAAGCCUGAUGCAGCGACGCCGCGUGAGGGAUGGAGGCCUUCGGGUUGUGAACCUCUUUCGCCAGUGAAGCAGGCCUGCCUCGUUUGUGGGUGGGUUGACGGUAGCUGGAUAAGAAGCGCCGGCUAACUAUGUG